CCAUUGCCUCUACAGCCGUGACAAGGCUCCCCACUUGAGCCACCCCCAUUCCCUGUCUUAGAGAUUCUAGGUAGAGGCUCCACAGGUGACCAUACCCCCAGCCCCUCAUUGUGGUAGAACCUGAAUGUUUACCUGUACCCAAACCCUAGAAUGAGAGAAUACCAGCUGUAACAUGUGCUAGUAAAGAGAAUCACGUUUAUUUCAUGUGUGUCUGCGGGGGGUGAAUACAUGCCACAGAGCAGAGGUGGCAGUUAGAGAGCAACUUGAGAAUUGGUUCUCAUCAUGUUAGAAGCAAACUCAGGUCAGUAAUACUGGCAGCAAGCCACUUUCUCAGCUGAUUCAACUCCCUGGCUCUGAUUAUACAUUUUGAGAAACAGAUACAGGUGAUUGUUGAUUUCAGACAGACUGUGGAAAUUGAAAGAUGAGUAAGUGACCAUGGCUUGACCCUGAUUUGUCUCCUGAAGAAAUAGCUCAUCUGACUUUGGGUCAGACUCCCUGAAUAAUUGCCAUACCAUCACCUUCCAAAAAUCAACUGUACCUUUCCUACCUGGAGUCUGCAACAAUACCUCUCAACAUCAAGAAAUGACUCCACAUCGAGCAGCUCUAUUCAACAUAACUUUAUAAAAUUUGGCUAUUCAAAAAGGGGGAAAUGAAGGAGAUUUGCUGAACUGACACCAGGCCAGAACAAUGCACUGGCCAGAAGUUUCUUGAAAACAAGAGGAUGUAUUUAGAGUUAUGGCAGACUACUGCCUUUACACUCCAACAAAUAUUCUCUUGGCCAGAAUUCAGGUUCUUCACAUUAUCUCUGGGAGAAAGUGCAAUCAGUAACAUACAAAAAUCUGUUCUUUGUCCAGCAAGAAAGAAGUGAACAAUAGAGAUUAGUGAGGGUGUCACUGCGGGUGUCAGGGAAGCCAACCACAGGAAGAGAUGAGAGUGAAAACCUGGCUCAGAUUGACUUUGUCAACCUGGAUCAGACUCUGGGGAGUCUAAUACCAGACAUCUUAUUGUAGACAUAUUUAAACACAGUAGAAUUUGGGAAUGGGUCUCUAUACUAACAAUAGUUCCCAUAGUCAUUCCACUUCCAGUUGCACAACAGAGCUUAAGGUGUGACUGCAGAGAAACACGAUUACAAAGUCCAUGUGACCAUGAGGGUAGGUUCUGUAUCUAAAAGUCCUAGAAUCUAAUGUGGUCUCUGAGAUAGCAUAGAGAUCAGCAGGCCAUAAAGUACAUGUGACAACUCCUCUAAAAUGGGUAAUGGUCUAGGGUCAGAACAAUCUGGAAAGAUACAAGCAUAACCUCACCCUGAUGUUAGUAGGACAUCAUUCCCUUUCCUUUGUUUUGU